GUGGGGAAGAGGAAGAAAGGGAGCAUGUAAGAUCAGUGGGAAUAGGAACAUUGAGGGAAUCCUAUAGCUCAAUUUUCGUUCCUAUAUUGGAGGUAACAAUUUGUUUUGUGUUUCCCUAGUGCCUCAUAUUUCUAUCGUUAUUAGGUACUACCUCCUCUUCCUUUUGUCU
rnacentral:pre_miRNA from 1 species